UAAUAUAUCGGAACGUACCCAAGAGUGGGGGAUAACGUAGCGAAAGUUACGCUAAUACCGCAUACGAUCUAAGGAUGAAAGCAGGGGACCGCAAGGCCUUGUGCUCCUGGAGCGGCCGAUAUCUGAUUAGCUAGUUGGUAGGGUAAAGGCCUACCAAGGCAUCGAUCAGUAGCUGGUCUGAGAGGACGACCAGCCACACUGGAACUGAGACACGGUCCAG
rnacentral:rRNA from 1 species